UUUCCAUUUAUUUAUUUAUGUAUUUAUAUAUUUUUGUGAGACAGAGUCUCACUCUGUCACCCAGGCUGAAGUGCAGUGGUGCUAUCUUGGCUCACUGCAAUCUCUGCCUCCCAGAUUCAAGCGAUUCUCCUGCCUCAGCCUUCUGAGUAGCUAAGACUACAAGUGCAUACAACAACGCCUGGCUAAUUUUUGUAUUUUUAGUAGAGAUGGGGUUUCACCAUGUUGGCCAGGCUGAUCUCGAACUCCUGACCUCAGGUGAUCCACCCAUUUGGUCUCCCAAAUUGCUGGUAUUGGAUUACAGGCAUGAGCCACCACAUCCAGCCUUUUUUUUUUUUUUUCCAUUUAAUUGUGAUUCCCAGCCUACUUACCACUAUCCACUGUUAGAAUUUAUGCUCUGUGAGGACAGGGGCCAUGAACUACAUCUGCACUAUUUUUGGCAUUCUUUUUACUAAUUAUUUACUGAAUGUUUACUAAUUAUUUACUGAAUCAGUAGUCAAGUCCACGUAGGAACAAAUGAAUAAAACUUAAGUGUGGCUCAACUCUUGAGGAAUAUGAAACCACCUUUGCAAAAUUAUAAUUGAGGAAAUUACAACAAUGAACGAAAUCAGACUGGGAAAGCCUUUGUGGCUACCUGCUUAUGGUUUGGUGCCCCGCCCCACUCCAGCGAUGGAUCCAGAAGCUAGCCCAAGUGGCUGCCUAGUUCUCUUGGACUGGGGACUGGCUCUGGUACUCUCUCCACUGGCAGGCACUGCCAACCCAAUGUGCAUGCAUUUAAUUGCAGUGGAGAAAUAAUCCUGGAGAGAUGUCCUUUAACUGUAGCCCUAUCACAGGGCUUCUAUCUGUAGCUGCAUUAAAAGGUGUCUGGAUUGGUGAGUACCCUAGGUGCUCACCAAUGCCUCCUUCCUUCUCCUGCCAAUGCCUCCUUCCUUCUCCUGACUGGUUCUGUGGCCCCAUAGUGGGGUGUCUCUCUGUAGCCCCAUUGCAGGGUGUUAGGAUUGGUGAAUAUACUAGGCACUGCUAAUGCCUCCUUCCUUCUCUCGACUGCUCUGUAGCUCUAUGAUGGGGUGUCUUAGCCCCACUGCAGGGUGUCUGUUUGUAGCUCCACCACGGGGUAUAUGUUUGGCUCCACUGGGGUCUCGGUUGGCUCUAACUAGUAGGAAGAGUCUUGGUUCAGGAGACUUGUCCUCAAUCAGGACAAUUUUGAGAUUUCUCAGACAGAGAAUAGGAGGAUAGUUUAGAAGGGAUACUCUUGGAGUUCCUGUUUAGGGAUCAUCUGAUUUGGAAGGCCUUCUGUCUGUCUCAUCUUUGUGUGUGUUUGUACAUGUGGAGGGAAUCUCAGAAGGAAUUGCUGAAGGAAGUCCAGCAGGCCUAACUCAGAGAACUCUUCUUAUUUGGUUACAUUCGAUAAGACCUGGAGAAAGCUCAACAGGCCUGUCUCAUGGUGACUAUCUGCUCUUUGCCUUACGCAGAGACCCAAUUGUGAAUUAUUGUUCUGAGGUCGUCCCUCCCCACCUGGAGUGGAUCAAAGACAACAGGGACCAACAGGAAAAAGUCUGAGCUUUGCCAGGUUGAUAUUGGGUGCUGAACGAGGUGACUAGUGUCUGUUUUGUUAUGUGAAUUCUGCUGGGAUAGAAAAUGUUAAAUGGUUCCCCAUGCAGCCGGUUGGGCAGCAUCUUGCAUUUUAAGAAUCUUGCCUAUGUUUCCAUAAAACAGAAAAUGGUGAUUUUUCUCUUGUAAAGUGGCUUGAACCCCACAACUAUGGUGAGGUGAGCAGGGUGAUCAGAAGCCAUUCCAUUCUUCUGGAAGUUGCAGAGGAAGGGAACCCAGAAAUCUGAUAUGCCAGCAAAAAGAGUAAGAAAUUCUUACCAGCUAGGUUUCUGGUCUCUCUCUCUUUCUCCAUCAGUGUAAACAGUAAACAUCACUAUAUGUUUCUCUGUAAAGGUUUGAUUAAUAGAAAAAAGAAUUUACAAGACUAGUCUUGCUAAGAAUUUGUCUUUCAGUGUUCGGUAAUGGAAAGAGGGGUAUCACAAGAUAGAACAUGAGUUUAGGACCCCUAUAAGCCUGCUUUUCAAGCCAGCUCAGCAGGCUGGCCAAUUAUAAACUUCGUUAUGGGUCCCCGAAACGAAUACUGUAUGAAAUUUCUCUGUCUUGUUUGGCCUCCUUAAAAGCUUAAUCUUGUGACCAUAUGUGGAUACUUUCUUUUGGUUUAUACCAUCCAGCCCUAAAAAUUUUUCUUGAGCAGUUAAAAGCCUUGGCAAGGUUAAAAGUGGCUUCUCUAGUCUCCUUCUUGGAAUAGCAAUAGAAACUGCUCAAUGCUAUAAUUCAGUAGCUAAGACUUUGCCUUUUGACAAUAGAGGCCCAGGCUCUAUUCUUGGCUUCUGGAAUGAUUUCUUUUUUUUUUUUUUAAAUUUGAAAAAAAGUGUUUUUUUUUUUUUAUUAUUAUACUUUAAGUAUUAGGGUACAUGUGCACAAUGUACAGGUUAGUUACAUAUGUAUACAUGUGCUGUGCUGGUGUGCUGCACCCAUUAACUCAUCAUUUAGCAUUAGGUAUAUCUCCUAAUGCUAUCCUGGUUUGCUAUUUGCAUAACUUUGCCAUUUAAUGAGGUUCCCCCACAACCCCAUGGAUAGCUUCUGAUUUCCUGUCUUGAAUUUUCCUUUCUCUGAACUACCUUGGGGAAAUUCUAAGUCUUCUAAAAAGAAACUGCUUACCACAUCUUUGAAGCACCUGGGAGGUUACUUUUGAUAAAGUUCAAAAGCCAGAAAUGUUGGCCACAUGGCUAAAGUUGGGUAAUAAGAAAUUUAAAAGGAUUUUUUUAAGAGCACUGUGGUUAAAAGUCAGCUUAAUUAAAGGUGAAUAAACAAGUUAUGGAUACAUUUAAAAGGCCUUUAUGUUUUUCUCUUCUUGGAUCUCGUUUUUCUGUGAAAAGGUUUUAUUCUUCUUAGUAAACCGAAUUAUUUUUCUCCAUUUUUUGUCUUGCCACUCUUAAUGCACACAUGAGAGGCCCUAAGAUAACUUCUGGUAGCCUGGGACUCCUUGAGAAAAACAGAGUAGGCACCACAGACCCCAUUUUGGGAAAAACAAACAACAAAAAACAAACAAAAAACCCUCUGUUUUAUUCAUGACACCCAAGGAAUUAAAAGUAGAUGGAUCCCUCUUAAAAUCAAAGGCUCUGUUCUGUUUUGCAUUGUGUUGUCUGACAGUGCGAGUUUUGGGGAUAUCAGAAAUUACUUUGCAUUAUGAGAUAGCUUUCGUAUGUAAUAACUAGGUAGGAAAUAUACUUUAAGGGAUGGCUAAUAGUAUUUUUGGAGGGAAACUUGGCUGUUUGCACACUUGGGUCAGAGAAGCAUGCUCCGGGCCACCUUGAAGAUAUGGAAACAUCCCCAUGCCUGACUGAGAGAUGAGAAUUCCAUGGGGGAUGGGCUGAUUUCAAAAUGGACUGAUUGGCUUUAAGUUGCCUUGCAAUAAAAUGCAGGUUAGAAGCACUGCACUCUCUUCUCCAGUAGUAUUUCCUUCCUUUUGGGGAUCCAGGAUCCAGUAUAAAAUGGUAUCCUUCAUUUUGGAGAUCUGUCUUUGCCUUCAGCUGUGCCUGCUUAUUUAGCUCAGAAAAAUAUGCAUGCUUUCCUGGCCCUGUUCCUCCAAGGGCUCCACUCUGAAGCCAGUAAUCCAGCUAACAACUGGCAAAUAAAAAAUCUUACAAGUGCUGAAUUUUCUGUCUGUCUGUGUAUUUAUAUAGACUUCUAUAAUUCUGAUAUAAUUUACUGUACAUUAUUAGUAAUUAUAAUUGUUAUGUAAAAUUGUUGGAUGCCACAGAAGUAAGCAAAAUUCCUAGUCAAGUAUAGCUUUAAUAGUGUCUAUAGACUUUUGUGUUCCACAGACAUUUUGUCUUGCUUUUGUCCUUUUCAAAAGGCAGUUUAUAAUCAGAUAUAGGACUCUUAGUGCAGGUCUCAGAUAACUUUAAAAAUUGUGCUAUUGGAAUAGAGGAAAAAAACGAAACUUCCAGGACUCUCAUGGAGAGCUGAUAUCUUAAAUGUCACCAAUCCUUUUGUUUUCAGAGUCAAGAUAACUUAUUUUUUUAGAGAUAUUUGCAACUUUUAACAAGUAGGUAAAAUACACUCCUGUGAAAAAAUUUUGAAGCAUAUUUGUUUCUCUCUCCCUGAUUUCUCCAGAAUUUGGAAACUCUUUGUAAGUAUUCUCAAUUUAUGGCAGCAUGGUUAAUUCCAUAAGUACAAUAAAAAUCUGUUUUCUUUUGUAACACGACACAAUUGGAGAAAUUGGUUAUUUUACCAAGGCUUUGACUGGAAUGGCACACUUCCCUUAAAGAAUCAAAGUUGACUUAUAGAGCCAAUAAAAGCCCCUUGGGGAAUCUGGCUUCAUACCUUGUCUACACAGAGUCCUUGUACAAGGUUCCUGAUCUGUAGUAAGUAAAGAAUAUCACUUUCUAACAGGUUCAUGAGCUCCAAGUUAUCUUGGGACCUUGAGAGGAGAGGAAUUUACCCAACUCAUAGGUAUUUAAGGGUACAAAUGCAUGGCUGGGAUCGGCUCUUAAAAAGUCUUAUCUGAGAUUCCUCAUGGAACAGAGUUCCAUCAAAGCCAAUUUAAACAAAAAACAGCCUAAAUAACACUUCCCUCUCCCAAACAGCCGGAUUUGCAUGAAUUACUCUUACGCCAUUGCAAUUCCCCUGUCUUGAUAAAUUGGCUCUGUCUAAGGAGUCGGCAAGGUGAACCCACCUGGUGAUUACAAAUUCUUAAUAGCAAACCAGGUAAGUUUGAUUUCAUUUAACAGACGAUAGUUGCGUGUUGGAUGUUUCAACAGAAGGAAGGCAUGUUCAUUUCCCUAUCCAUUCAGGUAUAUUUAAUGAGCAUAAAUUCUUGAAACUUACUCUGCUAUUAUUGGGGGUACCACUUUGGAAGCAUGUCUGUACACUUUAAAGUUUGCAGUCAAGUGGAAAAAUAGAUAUGCAAAUAAGUAAAAUGAAAAAUAUUAUAAGAAUGUAAAUAAUUAGCAGAAGCUCAAGAAAAGCAUAAGCAAAGUGUGUCUCAGGCAGAAGACAGCUGUCCAGAGAAGGGAGGGCUUGGCACUGAAACCUGAAGGACUGGUAGGAAUUUGUCCCCUGGAAAACUAGGAGCUAGUCUCUUGGCAGAGAGCAGUAAGGAAAGAAUCACAAAGGCUUGAGGGUGUCUCAUAUAACCAGAAAACUGGGAGAGCUGGGCUUUAGAAAAAAUAGAAAUGUGAGGCCAGGACUGAAGUGGCAGUGAUCAGAGAGAGGGCAAGUAUUUGAAGAUGUUUGCAGAAAGUUAGAUUGAUGGCAGAGUUUGAGAGUCAUGCCAACCUGAGACCACUCCUCUCAACAGAAUUUUGACCUAAAGCAUAUUUUGAAGACGUUCUAAAAGUCUGCCAAUGUGAAGACAUCCAGGGUCCUGGGAUAUUCCUGGUCUGAGGAUAAUGAGAGCAAGACGUGUGCGGCUUGACUUGUCCAUUAUUGGAUAAAUCUGUAGCCUCACCUAUGGAUGAAGCCGCAGAAGAGGAAAUGCACUCUGAGGAGGACAAUCCUGAUCUACAUCAUUAAUACAGCUAAGUGAGUUUGCUCCUAAUCGAGCACAUUUCAAGCAAGAGAUUUCCAGGAACACUGGAACACACAGCGUGAAGCUUUUCAGAUGGUUCUCAAGAGCUUCAGCAAAGGAGCUACCACAUACUCAGAACAGGAAAUGAGCUUUAAUCAGAAAAGUGCCACUGAGGAUGAAGGAAAAGAAUCAAAGGAGAGUCAAGGGACAUGCAAUAGGGACCCUGCUACAGAAAUAUGGCCCUGAAACCAGAGAUAAGAAAGUUUUCUUCAAAUUAACAUGACUACUAAAGAAAUCAAAUGUUACGCACGAAGACAGGCCCUAGGUGAACUUGAGUGUGAGUCACUGACCCUUACCUGCUGAGAGUCCCAGCGUCUCUGCCAGGUAACUGUCUUCUUCACAAAUGUAUGUGAUGCAAAUUUCACAUGCCCGUGCCCCUUUCGGAAUAAGAGAGUCAAGCAAAGCUCGGGUCUUAUCCAUAACUGUAGCAUUUUCACGUUUUACUUUCUCUGUCUCUUCCUUGUUCAGCACCCUUGUCUGUAAUAAUUCAUCCAGUAAGCCAUUUAUCGUGCCUUCACCCAUGGAACGGAUAAACAGCUUUCUCUUCUCCUUCAGGACCUUGUCUAUUUGGAGCACAAGGAUUUCUCACAUCAUGAAAACGGCCUCAUAUUCCUCUCAUGUAAUCAACAGAAACUGACCUCAUUAGAUUUCAUCAGUGAAAUGUCCCCCUCCUCACAGUUGGGUAAUCCCUCUUCUUACUGUAUCGCUGUCCUACUUGUUUCCCUCAAUAGUCUCCAUGCAUGUGCAUGGAGUGGCCUGAAGACUGAGUUUACCAUUUCCACAUCAGUCCCUGGAAAGCAGAGAUCAUCCUCUUAUGUCGCAUGUUUAUUUAACUCUGAUUAAUAAAGUAAUGAAGCAGAAAUAGCCCAUUUCAUUUAGGAGCCACUGCUGCUAGUAUUCCUACUGUGCCAAUUCUGUACCCUCUGUCAGACUUUCAACAUGUAAAUAAGAGUUUAAUUAAGAUUGCAAAAUGACAUCAGGCUUCCGCUAAAGCCUCAGUUCCUUUCUGGGCUUUCCUUUCCUUUCUAAAGUCUGCAAGAAUCUUCUAGUUCCUUCUCUCCUCCCUCUCCCCACUUUUCCUCACUUCUACUCAAGUAAACUUCCACAGAUGCUAAUUAUGGCUUCCAGAAGAGCCAGCGCCUUCCAAAACUCUUUCUUCCCAGGGACCUUUUCUUGGAACAGUAAAAGACUCACCGGCCAUGGCUUUUCUCUCCUCCCCUUCUAGUGUGACUGAAACUGAAAGUAUGCUUCACCUUCCUUUUUGGCAGGGCCUGUACGCGUAUUGGGAAAUACUCACUGUGCAUGCAUAUGCAUAUCUUUAUUUUUCUUCCCAUUAAAGAAUCAGAACUGUAGCCUGCAUCGGGUAGCGUAUCCAUGGGAAAUUUUCUUCACCAGCCCUUGGAUAGAUCACGGUAGGAGGGGAAUGGGGCUUGGAGAGUAAGACAGGAUUGAAAAAGUACGUGUACAAUUAAAUUCACACAAUGAAGAGUUUCUCAAUCAUUAGAAAGCUUGACGGAGAAAAGUAACACAACCUUUGGAGUAUGUGAACCACUGUUCCCCUGACCCCACCUCAUAGCUCUUGGGAAAGUUGUAAGUAAUGUAUGUCCCUGUGAAACAUUUUUGCUUUAAGAAAUGGAAACAUUUUUCAGCAGAAUUGAAGCUUUUCUUAUUUAAUGUCCUUCUUUUCACAUUGCUUUUUUCUUUCUUUCUUUCUUUCUUUCUUUUCUGAUACAGGGUAUCAUUCUGUUGUGCAGGCCAGAAUGCAGUUAUUCGACCUUGGCUCACUGCAGCCUCCACUUCCCAGGCUCAGAUGAUUCUUCCAACUCAGCCUCCCAAAUAGCUGCAAUUACUGGCACAUGCCACCAUGGCCAGCUAAUAUUUGUAUCUCUUGUAAAGACAGGGUCUCCCUGUGUUUCCUAGGCUUGUCUUCAGCUCCCAGGCUCAAGCAAGGUGCCCACCUUGGCCUCCCAAAUUGCUAGGAUUACAGGCAUGAGCCACCCACCCAUCCUGGAGGGUUUAUUUUUGAGGGAAAUUGCAUUAUAGAGGCCCAGAGCAUAGGCUCUGGAAUCAGAAUGUUGAACUUAGCAUUUUAAACUUCCCUUCCUCAGCAAGAUAUUGAACUUCCCUAUGCAUUAGUUCCCCUGUAUGUGAAAUAAUUUUAUUAAUAGUAUGUACCUACAUAGUUUUGAGCAUUAAGUGAGAGAAAAUGUGGAAAAUGCGUGGAACAUAGCUUGGCAAAUGGUAAGCAAAUAAUAAGUGAUAAUACUGUAAUUAAUACAAAUGUUUAAGGUUAGAAAAAUAAUCAAGGAUGAUUAUUUGCAGAUUAUCUAGCUAAGUUUAUCUUUUGUUAGAAUCCUCAAGCAGUGCAUCUAGUCAUUCAUUUAGCAAACAUAUAAGGACGACAUUGCUCUAGGUGCCAGAGGUUCAGUCAAAAUAUAUCACGGUCCUUUCCCCUUUGGUCUCACAUUCAAGAGGGGAAGACAAACGUGAAGGGUGGUGAUGUGGUCUGUCUCCGUUUCCCUACUCAAAUCUCACCUUGAAUUGUAAUAAUCCUCAUGUGUUAUGGGAGAUAUCUGGUGGUAUGUAAUUGAAUCAUGGGUGCUAUUUUUUUUCAUGCUGUUCUCUUGAUAAUGAAUGUCUCAUGAGAUCCGAUGGUUUUAUAAAAGGGAAUUCCCCUGUUCAUACCCUCUUGCCUGCACCCAUGUAAGACGUGUCCUUGCUCCUCUUUUGCCUUUUGCCAUGAUUCUGAGGCCUCCCCAGCCAUGUGGAACUGUGAGUCUAUUAAAUCUCUUUUUUGUUCUAUA